UUUUAACCCGAACAGGACGUAUAGAGCGAACUGGAGAUGGAGACUUCACUAAUCUCGAUUGCGUUUUUGAUGUUUUGAUGGGAAAAAAAAGGAAAUCAGCUUCCACCUUUAUAACUAAGUGUUCCCGGAAACCUUUUUAGACCCGUUACUCGUAGAAUGAAAAGGAUAUACUACUAUACUAAGAAGUACAUAUGUAAAAGGCAGAAGGACCAACAUAUAACUUAUAACAGAUUACGAUUAGUUUGGAACGUCAACUGUAUAAUUUGGAAGCAUUAUUUGCUUCUACAGGUAUUUUGUUUUCAAUUUUGUAGAUUUUUGUGGUUAAAAGAGGAGCAGUUUUACAAAACCUUGGUACAUUUGUAUUAAAUGCUUUUAAUAAAGUACACUAAAGUAGAUA